rnacentral:rRNA from 1 species
CGACGAAGGACGUUACUAACGACGAUAUGCUUUGGGGAGCUGUAAGUAAGCUUUGAUCCAGAGAUUUCCUAAUGGGGAAACCCAGCACGAGUUAUGUCGUGUUAUCGAUAUGUGAAUACAUAGCAUAUCUGAAGGCAGACGCGGAGAACUGAAACAUCUUAGUACCCGCAGGAAGAGAAAGAAAAAUCGAUUCCCUGAGUAGCGGCGAGCGAAACGGGAAGAGCCCAAACCAACGAGCUUGCUUGUUGGGGUUGUAGGACACUCUAUACGGAGUUACAAAAGAACAGACUAGACGAAUCAUCUGGAAAGAUGAAUCAAAGAAGGUAAUAAUCCUGUAGUCGAAAGUUUGUUCACUCUUGAGUGGAUCCUGAGUACGACGGAACACGAGAAAUUCCGUCGGAAUCUGGGAGGACCAUCUCCCAAGGCUAAAUACUCUCUAGUGACCGAUAGUGAACCAGUACCGUGAGGGAAAGGUGAAAAGUACCCCGGAAGGGGAGUGAAAUAGAACUUGAAACCGUGUGCUUACAAGUAGUCAGAGCCCGUUAAUGGGUGAUGGCGUGCCUUUUGUAGAAUGAACCGGCGAGUUACGAUUUGAUGCAAGGUUAAGCAGUGAAUGUGGAGCCGUAGCGAAAGCGAGUCUGAAUAGGGCGUUGAGUAUUUGGUCGUAGACCCGAAACCAGGUGAUCUACCCAUGACCAGGUUGAAGUUCAGGUAACACUGAAUGGAGGACCGAACCGACUUACGUUGAAAAGUGAGCGGAUGAGUUGUGGGUAGCGGAGAAAUUCCAAUCGAACCUGGAGAUAGCUGGUUCUCUCCGAAAUAGCUUUAGGGCUAGCCUCAAGUGAUGAUUAUUGGAGGUAGAGCACUGUUUGGACGAGGGGCCCUUAUCGGGUUACCGAAUUCAGACAAACUCCGAAUGCCAAUCAAUUUAACUUGGGAGUCAGAACGCGGGUGAUAAGGUCCGUGUUCGAAAGGGAAACAGCCCAGACCACCAGCUAAGGUCCCAAAAUAUAUGUUAAGUGGAAAAGGAUGUGGCGUUGCCCAGACAACUAGGAUGUUGGCUUAGAAGCAGCCAUCAUUUAAAGAGUGCGUAAUAGCUCACUAGUCGAGUGACACUGCGCCGAAAAUGUACCGGGGCUAAACAUAUUACCGAAGCUGUGGAUUGUCCGUAAGGACAAUGGUAGGAGAGCGUUCUAAGGGCGUUGAAGCAUGAUCGCAAGGACAUGUGGAGCGCUUAGAAGUGAGAAUGCCGGUGUGAGUAGCGAAAGACGGGUGAGAAUCCCGUCCACCGAUUGACUAAGGUUUCCAGAGGAAGGCUCGUCCGCUCUGGGUUAGUCGGGUCCUAAGCUGAGGCCGAUAGGCGUAGGCGAUGGAUAACAGGUUGAUAUUCCUGUACCACCAUUAUUCGUUUUAAGCGAUGGGGGGACGCAGUAGGAUAGGCGAAGCGUACGAUUGGAUUGUACGUCCAAGCAGUGAGAUUGAGUGUUAGGCAAAUCCGGCAUUCUUAAGAUUGAGCUGUGAUGGGGAGAGGAAAUUGUUUCCUCGAGUCGUUGAUUUCACAC